AUUUACAUUGCGUUUGGAUACAAUGUGAGAUGCCUUAGGACAAUGUAUAAAGCUUGCUAAAGAAGCUUCUAACUGCAUUUUUAGUCCACCAUAAUCACUAGUUAUUACCCAUAAGUUAAUUAUUCUGAAUUUGCUUACGAUGUUUAUAUAAGGGUUUGGGUUCAAUUAAAAGGGUUUUUUGGGUAUGAAUGAGGUUUUUUUUUUUUUUUUUUUCCUUGUUUUAUAGUAAAUUUUAGGCUUAUGUUUUUGGGAAUUAUAAGUUAAAUAUUUGCAAUGGUAUUAAUAGUAUUGGUAUAAUAAGGAAAUCACAGUCAAAUCGUCCAUUGAAGCUCUAUUCCUACUGAAGGAGGAGCUCAUGCUAUUUUUGAGUUCGAAUCGCCCUCAAUCUCAUAAGGAAUCGAGUAUGACUAUAUAGCAAUCAUCAUAGUAAAAGGAGAACAAUUCAGUCCAGGCUGCAAAUAUUGUUUCCUCAAGUAUACAACCUCUUCAAAAUCUAGCAGUACUGGUCAAUACCUUGAUUGGCUUAUUGCUAUUACACCAUCACACAUGCUUGAUAGUUGAAGUUAUAUAGAUGUUUGGAGGGCAUUGUUCUACUGUAUACUGAUACAUAUGUUGUAGUGUUGUUUCUGGUUUACAGAAGUACAUUGAAGAAAAAAUUAGUCGGAUGAGAAACUUCUUGGGGUUCAAUAUCAUAUCGGAAAGGGCAUUGCUUGUACCUUUUGAUUAAUUAGCGGUGGCUGAAUGGGUUUAAAGAAGAGGACUUUUAAAGCACUUGAAAAGCUGCUCAAAGACUGUGCUGGAAGAUAUGCAACCGGGGAUGAAUUUUUCUGGUUUGGAAACUUGCAGAUACACAUCAUGUAACAUGUUGUCUGAUGCUUUUCUUCGGGCAACGUGUUGCCUGAUGUGGACAUAAGCAAGUUAUUACUUGUGGAUGUCCGCAGAAGGAAAAAAUUUAUACAAGCAAUAUGUAUCACAACUUAAUUACUAAACCAAUACCUAAGCAAAGAUUUAUCAAGACAAAGUCCUAGUUGCUAUUAGCUUGUCGAAGAUUUUUUUAUCCACAGAAGUUCACAUGCUGUGUUAGCCAUUGCCUGAUGUUCCUGUAGGCCUUUCUAGGUUUUAAGUAAUUAAGUUUCCACAUUACAUAUGAAGGUAGAAGACCCAGUAGUAGAUUGUUUCUAGUAAAACCUGGCCAGUCAGCAUUGACAAUAGCCUUCAAUACUUAAUUAACUUGAAUUCCCUAUUUAGGACUACUCUCAAACCUAGAGUCCCUUCUAGUUCAAGAUAUGGAAGAACUCUGCAUAUUGCUUCCCAAUUAAUUUGUCUUGGGAUUAAGGCGAGGUAUUUAGGGUCAAGGCAGAGUGUAGCAGUGUGUUUGUGGUUGUUUAGGAGUAGAGGCAAAUUGUUUUGGGUUUUAAGAGAACUUCAGAAGUUUGUUAGAACAUGGCAGAAAGGCUUAAGUUUACUAGGCAAAGUGCUUUAUUACAAUGUUGGAGUGUUAUAAAAUAAAGGAGGGAAAGAUGGAAUAAAUAGACUACAUCUUGAUUUAGGAGUUUCACAUAUGUAUAGGAUUGAUGAAAAUUUAAAUAUAGCUUCUAUCAUUUUAAACAUAGCUAUAACUAAACCCUUUUAUCCUCUUCCCUGCAAGCUGGGGUGUCGGGGCACUGUGGCCAAUAUAUGUUGUAGACCUUUCUUGAAAGAUAAGAAGUUGAAAAUUCCACAUCCUCAUGGUUGUAUUGGAUGUCUUCAAUUUGAUCUUCUGACUUGACAUGUGGAGUUAUUUAAUUGUUUCUCAUGUCAGUAAACUAUAAGAAUGACCAUACCUGAUCUUUGUUUGAGAACAAAAGACUGAAUAAUCUGAUUUGAUUCAAUAAAAUCGUUAAGCUAUCAACGCUGAAUGACAUAACCAUGCUCCAGACUCUCCUGCAGUAGCAGAAAAAUUCGAAAACAAAGACCACCACAUUCUUCAAUCUAAGGUUGUAGGAGUUCACAAACAUACUAAUAGAACAUAAAAUCUUGAUAAACUGACAGUAGAAGAUUAACAGCUGGUGGUUUUAGAGGAAAAUAUGAUUAACAUGAUGAUGGUAGGAGUAAACAGGGGACAGCACACAUCAGAAUGCAUGGUUAAAAGUAGCAGGCAGUUAGCAGACGGUAGUACUGAACAGUUGCAUAUUCUUCUUUUGGUAGGCAGCAGUACAUGACAUAAUUCUUGACCAUCAAAAUGACAAGGAGAAACUUAAACAGCCACAAAAUUAAAUGAUUGAGUUUGGUGGCUUAUGGCUGUAUGAGAAGCAACAAAUAGAGGAAUAUAUUAAUUUUCAGGUGUGCAGGAAAGUUGAACAGUUGCAAGAAACAGAUAAGCUAGGAUAAGCUACUGCAGUUGACAAUUGUUGAAACCAGCUAGCUUUCUGCAGGGAAGAUAACACGGAAGUAGAUAUCAGAACAGUAUAGGACGUUAGGAUAAAUUUAUGAGGGAACAGAGAGGAUGCUGCUGGUUAGUAAGCCACUGAAACUUGUAGAAACAUGGUGCUUUUGUUGCAGGGCUGCAGCAGGAUUAGUUUAGGUAUAAGGAAUUAUAGCACAGGUAGUGAUUCUUCUAAAAUGGAGGAUUUCCUGAAUCAUUUUAAGUUAUUUUUGUGACCAACGCACUCUUGGGUAGAGAUAGCAAUUAUAACACAAAAUCUGGUAGAGUAGUCAUAGGAACACCAUAACUUCGCCAUACCAGUAGAGAGAAGAUACUAUAGGUACUUAUUUAUUUAUUUUACUUCCUUAAAAUUUUCUUUUCAGUCUGCACUACAAAGCUUUUGAUCAUUCAUUAACUUAAGAGUGGAGAAUGAACCAUAACUGAAGAUAAGCCAGUAAACAGUAUCAAUCAUUAUACCUUUCAAGUUAAACAAAACCCAAUAUUGAAGGGGAAUUUCUAUCAUUUAAAUCUUCAAGAAAAAUAUGGAUCCGCUUAAAAGCACUGUAUAGUUGUUAGCUAAAUAUAUUUCCAAGUUUAUCCUAUAAGAUAUGUCAAAAGCCUAUUUGCUUAGUUGCUACUACAGUUAUUGUUUUUUUCCUCUUUCUUUUCUGGGUGUCUGGGCUUCCAUCUGUUGUUUUUGUUGGAAUGUAACCUGCUGUGCUGGCGUGGAGGUCAAUGCAGAUGUGGAUAAAAGAGGAUGCAUAUGUGUAUUUCACAGUGGCUCAUAUGCCAUGUGUCAUAGAAGUCACUAGAAGAAUGAAUGUGUGAGUACGUGAAAGUGUGAGAGAGAGAAAAUACAGAUUUAUGCUUUAUAACAAAUUUGUAAUCAUUGCAUUUAUUAUGUAAGCAAAAAUAUUUUUGUUUUUAUUGUUACAUUGAGAAAAUAUGAAAUAUACAAGCAGAGCUCACGUUUUCUCUCCUCU